rnacentral:misc_RNA from 1 species
UGUCCAGUACUGCACUGAAGCUG